rnacentral:rRNA from 1 species
CACGAAGGGCGCAAGCUUUGUUCGGAAUCACUGGGCGUAAAGCGCGUGUAGGCGGCUUUGCAUGUCGCUUGUGAAAUCCCGAGGCUCAACCUCGGAACUGCACUCGAUACUGCUUGGCUCGAGUCCCGGAGAGGGUGGCGGAAUUCCCGGUGUAGGGGUGGAAUCCGUAGAUAUCGGGAGGAACAUCAGUGGCGAAGGCGGCCACCUGGACGGUGACUGACGCUGAGACGCGAAAGCGUGGGGAGCAAACAGG